AGGGGCCGUGCGCCCUGCGGGCCCGCCCGCCCGGCGCUGGGGGGGCCGGGGGGCGGCUCCUGCCCGGCACCUCUGGCCCGCAGCCCGUUUCAGGGAGAGCCUCGCCCGGGGGUCCCGCAGCCCACAGAGGGUCCCUGCUGCGGGAUCCAGGCGGUCGCGGGGGUCGGCGUGGCUGCGUGUGGAACCCGGGACCCCCAGGGGUGCACCCGUCCCCGGACUGGGGUUGCAGGACUGGGGGGGAUGCGCUGUCAAGUGACAAGGGUCUGGGCUGGAUGACAUCCCCUGGCACUGAUUGCCCCCAGCCGGGGCAGCUGGCAGGGCAGGAGAGGGGCCCAGGUGCACUGCAUCACUGUAUCCAGCGAUGGGGCAGGAGCUCCCAGAGUUCACACGGUUGCUCUAUAAAUAGGGCAGCAGCUGCACCAGGAGCUGGUUUUUCUGUUUGCCUCUGCUUUUGCUUUUCUGUACUUUCACCUGCUUGAUUCUUGAUCCUUCAUCUGCUUCUGUAAAACAGUUCAAGACCCUGGGACUGCUCCUGGUGCUGUUUUUGCCUUGUCUGGGGCCCAGGGAUGGUGGGGUGCGGUGGGCAGGGAGGAAACCCCUUCACAAACAAACCCCCGCCGGCAGCAGCUCUGGCCUUGAGCGGCUCUUCGCACAGCAGCAGAAAAAUCCCCCAGCGCUGUCCCGCUUUGUCCUGGCGCAGGACGCGUCUGGCAGCGAGUGCCCCGCAAACCAAGUAGAAGAGGCAAGAGGUGUUACAACAAGACUCAGAUGAUGAGCGGGACAACCCCGUCCGCUCUGUGUUGCCCAGAGUAAAAGUGCUUCAUUAGAGCUGUGUGACUUUUAAUUUGUAAGUUCUUAGACCUCUGGUUCCCUGGUCUGUGUCACUCGUGGGUUCACCAGCAAUGUCACCCCUGCUGUCACCUGCCUUCCUCAGGAGAUAACACAAGUGAGGUCACGGAACAACAGACACAAAUGGCUUUAAAACAAAGACCUGUGUAUUUCUACUCGAUUUGAUACAGAGGACGCCUGUAGGAUGAAUGGUCAGUCUCAACAGCAAACGCAAAGAUCUUUUAUUUAGACAAAACUUCUCACAAAGGAUAGACACACUUAUUUUGUGGUAUCACUGUGCAAAACCUGAAGUCUAAUGCACAGGCAGUCCCAUCCCUAUCUCCCCAACCCCCUUUCUUUGUGUAUUUAAAAGCAGGAAGACAGUAGCCAGUUUAAAAACCAGAAGCUGCAAAAGGCCCAGUGAUCAUCAAGUGCAAACAAAGCAAAGGGAGUUCACCAAAGGGGUUUCACUCUGCAGUGAAUCCACGUUCUGAGUUCUGAUUGGGAACGGCACACACGUGCCUCUACAACCUUAGGACUGCUAGUUUUGACCUUAGAGAAAAACAAAGUAAUGUAGAGCAAGCACUUAGAGAGCAAUGAAGAGAUUAAUUCCAAAAUCACCUUCAAGUAUGAUAAGAAACUGGCCACAACUGAGACAAAAUGGAAAGGUUUCUUCUCUCACUUUGGUGCAAGUUUAUUUAUUUUGUACGCUAUCCAUCCAUACACCUGUGAUACAAAUUCUAUGAACCUGCCACAAAGCAUUAAAGCACAACAUAUGUAUUAUUCUGUAGAUGUCUGCGUUUUUAAUCACCAUCCAGCCUAGGUGGAUCAGCAGUGAUUUAACAAAGGAACUUGCAGUUCCGUAGAAAUGCAGAUGUCUGAUAACCGUACACACACGAGGGAGGGGAGAGCAAAAAUGUUCACCUUUGGGGAAAAUGGCUCAAAUCUUCAGAUUUAAAAAAAAAAAAGGUCCCUGGAAGAGCUGUCCAUAUAGGGAUUUCUGUAAAGGAUCCUGUAAACUCAUUUUAUACAGCAAAA